rnacentral:snRNA from 1 species
AUCGCUUCUCAGCUAUUUGGCUAAGAUCAGAGUUUAGCUUCGGUGCUAAAAGAACUAACCUUCGAUAGAGAUGUCAAUGCAUUUCAUUUUUAUCUUCGUUGCUUUUGUUUUAUUCAUUUUAUUUGAUCUUUGAGAUCAGACAAGGUGGUGGGCUUGCUCACACCACGUCAUGGGUCCUCCCAGCGUUGCACCGCUGCUGGGAUCGGCCCACCCCAA